rnacentral:rRNA from 1 species
AUUGAACGCUGGCGGCAGGCUUAACACAUGCAAGUCGAGCGAGCGGCGGACGGGUGAGUAAUGUCGGGGAAAGUGCCUGAUGGAGGGGGAUAAAUACUGGAAACGGUAGCUAAUACCGCAUAACAUAAGAUGGGCCCAGAUGGGAUUAGCUAGUAGGGGGGGGAAUGGCUCACCUAGGCGACGAUCCCUAGCUGGUCUGAUAGGAUGACCAGCCACACUGGAACUUAGACACGGUCCAGACUCCUACGGGAGGCAGCAGUGGGGAAUAUUGCACAAUGGGCGCAAGCCUGAUGCAGCCAUGCCGCGUGUGUGAAGAAGGCCUUCGGGUUGUAAAGCACUUUCAGCGAGGAGGCGUUACUCGCAGAAGAAGCACCGGCUAACUCCGUGCCAGCAGCCGCGGUAAUUC